rnacentral:misc_RNA from 1 species
AGUAGGAGUGAGCCUGCUCGCGAUGGCGGUGUGUCAGAUGAGAAUCUUCUAUCUGACACACCGCCAUCGCGAGCAGGCUCACUCCUACA